ACAUAACACUCCCCAAUGCGACAAAGGACUAGAUCUGUGUUGGAGUUGGGUUUGU
rnacentral:pre_miRNA from 1 species